rnacentral:pre_miRNA from 1 species
GUAGUAUUCCCUCCGUCCCAAAAUUCUUGUCUUACAUUUGUUUAUAUACGGAUGUAUCUAACACUAAAAUGUAACUAGAUACAUCCGUAUUUAGACAAAUUUAAGACAAGAAUUUUGGGACGGAGGGAGUACAAA